CAGUCGCCGCGGUAAUACAGAGGGUGCAAGCGUUAAUCGGAAUUACUGGGCGUAAAGCGCGCGUAGGUGGUUCGCCAAGUUGGAUGUGAAAUCCCCGGGCUCAACCUGGGAACUGCAUCCAAAACUGGCGAGCUAGAGUAUGGUAGAGGGUGGUGGAAUUUCCUGUGUAGCGGUGAAAUGCGUAGAUAUAGGAAGGAACAUUAGUGGCGAAGGCGACCACCUGGACUGAUACUGACACUGAGGUGCGAAAGCGUGGGGAGCAAACAGGAUUAGAUACCCCCGUAGUCCCUGUCUCUUAUAU
rnacentral:rRNA from 1 species